UAACGAAUCUUCCGCAAUGGGCGAAAGCCUGACGGAGCGACGCCGCGUGUAGGAGGAAGUCCUUCGGGAUGUAAACUACUUUUAGGGAGACGAAAACAGAGCGGGCAAAUACCUCGUGAGUUGAUCUAUCCCAGAAAAAGCCACGGCUAACUCUGUGCCAGCAGCCGCGGUAAGACAGAGGUGGCAAGCGUUGUUCGGAAUCACUGGGCUUAAAGCGCGUGUAGGCGGCUUCGUAAGUGUCUUGUGAAAUCCCACGGCUCAACCGUGGAAUGGCUGGGCAUACUGCGAGGCUUGAGGCAGGUAGGGGUCACUGGAACUCUAGGUGGAGCGGUGAAAUGCGUAGAUAUCUAGAGGAACGCCCGGGGCGAAAGCGGGUGACUGGGCCUGUCCUGACGCUGAGACGCGAAAGCGUGGGGAGCAAACGGGAUUAGAUACCCCCGUAGUCC
rnacentral:rRNA from 1 species